UACAGAGGGUGCGAGCGUUGCUCGGAAUCACUGGGCGUAAAGGGCGCGUAGGCGGCGUUUUAAGUCGGGGGUGAAAGCCUGUGGCUCAACCACAGAAUGGCCUUCGAUACUGGGACGCUUGAGUAUGGUAGAGGUUGGUGGAACUGCGAGUGUAGAGGUGAAAUUCGUAGAUAUUGGGAAGAACACCGGUGGCGAAGGCGGCUCACUGGACCGAGACUGACGCUGAGGCGCGAAAGCGUGGGGAGCAAACAGG
rnacentral:rRNA from 1 species